rnacentral:misc_RNA from 1 species
GGAUGAAGAACGUAGCAAAAUGCGAUAAGUGACAUGAAUUGCAGAAUCCUGUGAAUCGUCGAGAUUUCGAACGCACUGCGCCCGGGGGAAACUCCGGGCACGUCUGACCGAGUGACGUCAUUAUCACUUGCAUACCCCCCAACAUACGUACAGGUUCGGUUGUGGGGCAGCAGACUUUGUGGGCUUGUGCCGCGGCCUCAGGCUAGGCACUCCCAUUCAAGCUAUCACUGUGCAACCUCUCUUGGGCAAGCAAAGAGACUCUGCCGCGAGCAUUACACAAAGUACUCUCCUGGCGGGGCCCUAUGCGUCAGUCUUGCCUACUCUUUGGAGGGGGACACCACAGUCCUUUUUACAAUUGCAGAGACAACUGCCCCAACAAACACCAAACCGUCCUCGGAUCAGGCGGGAUUACCCGCUGAUCUUAAGCAUAUCAAUAAGCGGAGGA